GUUCUUAUCGAUAGAUUUGAAUAAAUGUAUGUGGACGGCAUAUUUAAAGGAGUAAAAUAUAAAAUGUCUAAAUUACGAAAAACAUGUUUUUGAGUUGUCGAAACAAAGUUCAAACUUUAAAAAUCACUAGUUUGGUCAUAAAAUGUGAAUUGUUGAGUCCAUACGGAAUAGUGUAUAGAAAAUAACAGUAAUCGAACCAGACCUAGACGAGUUUAUCCCACUCUUAGAUAACUCGAAUGAGAAAUGACUCGACUCGUACUAUAGGUGUAGGAAAACUUGAUCCCUCGCUGCAUUCUUGCAACUUCGAACUUGCUGAUUUGUCAAUACAGUUAAUUUGCAAUAAGGUGCAUGCGCCGCGACGCGUCGUUACAUCACGGCCAGUCAAAAGAAAACCGUCUUAAGUUUAUCGAAUCAGCAUUGAAAAUUCGACAAAUAUAAAUCUAAAUAUAUCAACGUUACGAUAAAAUACCACAGAGUGAAAGUUAACGCGUUUCUAUAGGAAACUUGGUGGAUUUUAAAUAAAUCCUAUUAGGAGUUACAUAGAUAUAAAAUUUUAAUAAUCACCUAAUGUGACCUUAAGUUCUUAUGCGAAUCAUGCGCGUCAAGGUGACAGUGACACAGAGUACAAAUAGUGCUAUUCGUCUUUACAGUCGCUUCUCAUAAAACUUUCUUACUGGAAGCAAGAGUAGUCAGUUGAUCUUGGAGUGGGACUAGUAUCGUUUGCUUCUGCCACGAGAUACCUUUCGAAUGACAUAAAUAAAUAUAAUGUUUGUAGAGUGUGGUUGAUAUAUAAAAUUACUGUGAACCGUUUAUUAAUGAUGUUAAAUUAAAUUGAUCGUUGUAAAAGCGGUAGACAGAAUAUUAUCGAUAACAGUAGGAACGAUGAGCAACGUAAAACAGAUUGUGUCUAAUUGCGUUUUUGUAAUUAUUUUGUUCUUGCCCCAGGCGUUUACUGUCGAUCCGAUAAAUGUCUUGAAAAUCGAUGCUCCUCUUGUUAUCAAAAAUGUCAAUGAAGAUCUGGUCUAUGACACGUACAAUGAGAAUAUGCUGCCGUUACUGUCAAGGGAUCUCAGCCUUAUGUCUCAGGCCAUUGAGAUGAUCGAUGACAGCUCCUGCAGGGAUCAAUGUAAACUCAUGCUUAACGGGUUACACAAUCUGACAAGCUGGGCGGUCAAGUUCUACGACGCCUCUGGGAAGUUCCCCGAAGGCGUUCUCGGUGGUUCGGUUUAUCAGUUGGGUAACUUCGACGAGUGCCUGGAAAUCGGCAACGUGAAGGAGGAAGAGACACCGUCAGGAUUACGGGGUCAGUAUUGUCUAGGUGAGGUCAACAUCGACGUGCCGAAUAUAUAUCUUGAGAAGGAUGGUAGCAUUUGGGAGUACUUCCGGAAAGCGAAGGAACGCUACCAGGACACGAUUACGAAAUUGCACUGGGGAAUUUGCGUGCCUGCUGCAUGCGCUCCCCAAGAUGUCGAGGAUGUCAUCAGGAGAGUCCUCGCCGUUGCGUUCAGUGGAUCCAGACUUAAAUUGACACCCAGGAUUCCGGAAAAUUCAUGCUACACCAGGAAGCCAUUGAACGCCGAUUCCUUGGACGUGAUUUAUUUAUGUAUCUUAUUAUGUAUUACUGCUGCCAUGAUUGCCGGAACUAUCUUUCACUGGCUAUAUCUCCGAAAUGACGAAGAGGUUCCUAAACGCACACUUCCUCAAGUGAUGCUGGCUUUUUCAGUAAUAUCAAAUUUUAAAAAACUCUGCGGACCCUGCCACAACGAUGGUCUUAAUCUCGAAUGCAUAUCAGGAAUCAAAUGUGUCGCCAUGUUCAUGAUAGUAGCCGGACACACGCUGAUAUUCGUAGUGAGUGGACCCGUGCUGAACAGAAUUUUUUGGGAGGAGGCUGUCAGCAAAGUUCAGAACUCAGUUUUCCUGAAUAAUCCACUACUGGUAGAUACGUUUCUACUGCUCAGUGGAUUUCUAAUGUCUCGUCUAUUGCUACGUGAAUUAGAUAAAAGGGGUCACGUUAAUUUCAUAUUUCUCUACAUUUUCCGAUACAUCAGAUUGACCCCAGUUUACAUGGUGAUGUUGGGUCUGUACAUGACGUGGUUACCAAAACUGGAUAAAGGUCCUUUGUGGUAUAGGAUGGAUCUCGAAAAGGAAAGAUGCUUGAGCUCAUGGUGGACGAAUCUUCUCUACGUAAAUAAUUACGUCAACACUGAUAACCUGUGCAUGUUCCAAUCUUGGUACCUCUCGGUAGAUACGCAACUCUUCAUCUUGGCACCCAUAGUCGUGUAUCCUCUAUGGAGAUGGCGCAGACCUGGAGAAUUUAUUUUGGCAGGGGUGACGACCCUGUCGAUGUUAAUACCAUUUACAGUAACACUCUUAAACAACCUGGAUCCUACCUUCAUGAUUUAUACUUCCGAAAUUAAAGAUAUAUCAACGAAUGAGUAUUUUCGCGGUAGUUACAUAAAGACUCACAUGAGAGCCAGUUCUUACUGUUUCGGUAUAAUUUUUGGCUACGUUGUUUACCGUAUACAAAUAGCUGAAUUAAAAUUGUCCAAGAAUACUAUAAAGAUAGGAUGGUUUCUUGGGAGCUUGUCAUUACUGAUAUCCAUGUAUUCCAUAAGUGUCUUUUAUGGACCAAGAAAAAAUUUUACAACUAUUGAGGCUGCAAUCUACUCGUCAUUGCACAGAGCCAUGUGGAGUCUUGGUACAGGCUGGGUGCUUGUAGCAUGUAUUACUGAUAACGCGGGCCCUGUUAAGACUUUCCUUACAUGGAAACCAUUGACACCAAUCAGUAGAUUGACUUACUCAGCGUACCUGAUUAAUGGUUUAAUUGAAUUACACAAUGUGGCAACAAUUCGCUCACCUGAGUAUCUGAACAAUUUUAGUUUGUUCAAGGAGAUUUUGGCACACAUUACUUUAACAUUUGGCGGUGCUGUCAUCCUCUCAACCAUGUUUGAAUCGCCCAUACUUGCGUUGGAGAAGACUUUACUGCGUAGAGGGCAAGAAGCUGUAUCCAGUAAAAAGAUUAAUAUAGAUACUAACAGCACCACGGAGGCAUAGUCAAAUUUGUAUAAGUUGAAUCUUUUUUGGUCUAUAAGUCUUAUAAAAAAAAAAGGAAUGACAAAAACGAGUCAAUCUGCAAAAUAAUUUAAUGCGAUAAAAAGUGACAUUUAAAAAGAAUCUUCAAAGAGUACGUAGAGCCAUUAAUACUUACGGCCCUAUGAAUCUGGAACUCGGAUGGAUACCUAGUGGUGCCAACGUUGUAAAAGAAAACAGCAAAUUGCGUCAAAUAAACAGCAUACGAUAUCCUGCUGAAUAUUACAGCCCAUCUACUGGAGAGGAUUCUGUUCACAGGACCUAUACACCAGGCGAAUAUCGUCCAGCAUAAAGUCAAGGACCAGGAAACUGGACAGAUCACAGCAAAAUGAGUAGCAUCCUCGACGUCGUAGACGUAAUCCCUUCUGGCGAGUUUCCAGGGUGAGAAUAACGACCAUCCCCCCAAGACUGAUGCUAUUAGCCAGCCCAAUAUAACGAGUAUCUGAUAUAAAAGAUAUAAUGAUCUAUCUGAAAUCUGUGAAAAAUUUUUCAAAAAUUCAUACCUUAUGAAUUCGAAUAUUUUUUCCUGUAUAAUCUAAAAGUACACCAAGUCCAACGCCACAUAAAUAGGGCGUAGCUCUGUGCAAUGGUAAUGCAUAAGUCAAAUUGGCUGUCUUGUACAGAUGUUUCAGACUAAUUGAAGAAAAAAUUUAUAUUAAUUAACAUAAUUAACAUAAGUUUAGAAAACAUUAAGUACUCACGUGAUUCCAUGGAAUAUCACUAAAGACAAAUAAUUAUUCGACGUUGACAAGUAACGUACAGUAGCCGAUACUUGCAAUAAAAAGAAUAUUAUCAGGA